CAGUAGCCGCGGUAAUACGGAGGGUGCAAGCGUUAAUCGGAAUUACUGGGCGUAAAGCGUGCGUAGGCGGUUCGUUAAGUCUGUUGUGAAAGCCCCGGGCUCAACCUGGGAAUGGCAAUGGAUACUGGCGAGCUAGAGUGUGUCAGAGGAUGGUGGAAUUCCCGGUGUGGCGGCGAAAUGCGUAGAGAUCGGGAGGAACAUCAGUGGCGAAGGCGGCCAUCUGGGACAACACUGACGCUGAGGCACGAAAGCGUGGGGAGCAAACAGGAUUAGAUACCCGUGUAGUCCCUGUCUCUUAUAU
rnacentral:rRNA from 1 species